UUUUUUUUUGGGGGUUUGUCGCGAGGUCAUUGCUAUUGGGGUCCCGAUUUAGGCCAUGCUAGUUGCACGAGUUCAUACUCGUGGCGAAAAGCUUCAGUAAACAGUGGGCCAAACUUCCCUACAGAGAACGAUAACCUCGGGGAAACUGAGGCUAAUAGUUCAUACGGGAGUCAUGCUGGAAUGCCGACUCCCCGAAACGCUCAGGCGCUGUAGGAUGUGGCUGCGGCCGAUUAGGUAGACGGUGGGGUAACGGCCCACCGUGCCGAUAAUCGGUACGGGUUGUGAGAGCAAGAGCCCGGAGACGGAAUCUGAGACAAGAUUCCGGGCCCUACGGGGCGCAGCAGGCGCGAAACCUUUACACUGCACGCAAGUGCGAUAAGGGGACCCCAAGUGCGAGGGCAUAUAGUCCUCGCUUUUCUCGACUGUAAGGCGGUCGUGGAAUAAGAGCUGGGCAAGACCGGUGCCAGCCGCCGCGGUAAUACCGGCAGCUCAAGUGAUGACCGAUAUUAUUGGGCCUAAAGCGUCCGUAGCCGGCCACGAAGGUUCAUCGGGAAAUCCGCCAGCUCAACUGGCGGGCGUCCGGUGAAAACCACGUGGCUUGGGACCGGAAGGCUCGAGGGGUACGUCCGGGGUAGGAGUGAAAUCCCGUAAUCCUGGACGGACCACCGAUGGCGAAAGCACCUCGAGAAGACGGAUCCGACGGUGAGGGACGAAAGCUAGGGUCUCGAACCGGAUUAGAUACCCGGGUAGUCCUAGCUGUAAACGAUGCUCGCUAGGUGUGACACAGGCUACGAGCCUGUGUUGUGCCGUAGGGAAGCCGAGAAGCGAGCCGCCUGGGAAGUACGUCCGCAAGGAUGAAACUAAAGGAAUGCGGAGCACGAUCACUACCGAAAA
rnacentral:rRNA from 1 species